UGCUUCUCUUCCUUGAUGAAAAGGCAAAGCCAUCUCUGAUCUAUCAUGACUUAUCUAUUACAACUGUCUUUAAUCGAUAAGAUUGUUAGGAUUGAAUUAUGAGAUCUGUCUCAAUCUGCAGGAUUGAAUUGUCGCCUCAUCCGUUUCCUUCAAAAAAGAGAUAGAUAUAUACUGUUUUGGAAAGGAAAGAGAUGGGUUCUAUAAUCAGUGAAAACAGAAUGAACGAAGCAGAGAUGGAGGUGGUGAUGAACAAAACCAAAGAGAUCGUCUCCGAGUAACCAGUCGCUGUCUUCAGGUGAUGGAGGUGAGAUACAAUCAGCUUAUCUGAGUGGACAGGGCAGAGCACUGUUCCAAAUGUGUUCAUCAAAGGAAAACAUAUCGGUGGAUGUGAUAGUAAGAAAAAAAAAACUAUACGAACUCUCUGAACAUUUUAUGGAGAUAGACAGGUCGCUGGAAGAGCUAACUGAAUCUUUGGGUGUUUGUUUGCUUUUGUAUCAAGGAAAGCGAGCAUGUGUUAGUAUAACUUUUAACACAUAUUGUAUGUUAUACUUGACUUAUUAUUUCUAUUAAGUUUUCGGA